rnacentral:rRNA from 1 species
UACAGAGACUGCAAGCGUUAUCCGGAUUUACUGGGUUUAAAGGGUGCGCAGGCGGAUAUGUAAGUCAGUGGUGAAAUCUCUAGGCUUAACCUGGAAAUUGCCGUUGAUACUAUAUAUCUUGAAUGCUGUGGAGGUAAGCGGAAUAUGUCAUGUAGCGGUGAAAUGCUUAGAUAUGACAUAGAACACCUAUUGCGAAGGCAGCUUACUACGCAGAUAUUGACGCUCAUGCACGAAAGCGUGGGGAUCAAACAGG